UAUGGCCCAGGUAAGUUCCUUCUUUUCCAAGAAGCCUACCCUGAUACCCACUGAGCUCUUACCCUCUUCUCUGUCCUGCUUGUAUCACUAGUUUGCGGCUGAUCAUGGGAAGUCCUACCCUUUGCCUGAUACCCACCGAGCUC